rnacentral:rRNA from 1 species
CAUGUCUUUUUGAUUUAUAUUUUAAAGUUUAAUCUACCCAGUGAUUUUAAAUUUAACGGUCGCGGUAUUUUGACCGUGCAAAGGUAGCGUGAUAAUUAGUUUUUUAAUUGAGAACUGGUAUGAAGGAUUGGACGAGGGAGAUUCUGUCUCAGUAUAAUUUUUUUUAAAAUUUAAUUUUUAAGUUAAAAAGCUUAAAUUUUUAUAUAGGACGAGAAGACCCUAUAGAGUUUAAAAUUUUAAUUAAUAUUUAUAUAUUGGUAUUUUAUAGUUUAUUUUUUUAAUAAUUUUUGGUUGGGGUGAUUUAAAGAUUUUAUUAACUCUUUAAUUUUUGGGGCAGAGAUUUCUGGAUUUUUGAUCCAUUAUUUUUGAUUAUAAGAUAAAAUUACCUUAGGGAUAACAGCGUAAUUUUCUAUAAAGUUCUUAUUGAAUUGAAAGUUUGCGACCUCGAUGUUGGAUUAAAAUUAAAUUUUGGCGCAGAAGCUAAAUUGUUAAGUCUGUUCGACUUUUAAAAUUUUACAUGAUCUGAGU